UGGUAGUNCACGCCGUAAACGAUGAGUGCUAGGUGUUAGGCCCUUUCCGGGGCUUAGUGCCGCAGCUAACGCAUUAAGCACUCCGCCUGGGGAGUACGACCGCAAGGUUGAAACUCAAAGGAAUUGACGGGGGCCCGCACAAGCGGUGGAGCAUGUGGUUUAAUUCGAAGCAACGCGAAGAACCUUACCAGGUCUUGACAUCCCUCUGACCGCUCUAGAGAUAGAGUUUUCCUUCGGGACAGAGGUGACAGGUGGUGCAUGGUUGUCGUCAGCUCGUGUCGUGAGAUGUUGGNNNNNNNNNNNNAACGAGCGCAACCCCUAUUGUUAGUUGCCAUCAUUCAGUUGGGCACUCUAGCGAGACUGCCGGUAAUAAACCGGAGGAAGGUGGGGAUGACGUCAAAUCAUCAUGCCCCUUAUGACCUGGGCUACACACGUGCUACAAUGGCUGGUACAACGAGUCGCAAGCCGGUGACGGCAAGCUAAUCUCUGAACGCCAGUCUCAGUUCGGAUUGUAGGCUGCAACU
rnacentral:rRNA from 1 species